ACGGGGUGCAGCAGGCGCGAAAACUUCACACUGUGCGAAAGCACGAUGAGGGAAUCCCAAGUGCUUGCUCGUUAGAGUAAGCUGUUUUUAUGUUUAAAACGCAUAGAGAGUAAGGGCUGGGUAAGACGGGUGCCAGCCGCCGCGGUAAUACCUGCAGCUCUAGUGGUGGUCGCUAUUAUUGGGCCUAAAACGUCCGUAGCCGGUCUUAUAAAUGCCUGGGUAAAUCGUAUGGCUUAACCAUACGAAUUCCGGGUAGACUGUUAGACUUGAGACCGGGAGAAGUUAGAGGUACUCCUGGGGUAGAGGUGAAAUUCUGUAAUCCUAGGGGGACGGCCAGUGGUGAAGGCGUCUAGCUAGAACGGGUUUGACGGUGAGGGACGAAGCCCUGGGGCGCAAACGGGAUUAGAUACCCCGGUAGUCCAGGGUGUAAACGCUGCUUGCUUGAUGUUGGUUGAGCUCCGAGCCCAAUCAGUGUCGGAGAGAAGUUGUUAAGCAAGCUGCCCGGGAAGUACGGCCGCAAGGCUGAAACUUAAAGGAAUUGGCGGGGGAGCAC
rnacentral:rRNA from 1 species